rnacentral:rRNA from 1 species
CAAUAGCGUAUAUUAAAGUUGUUGCAGUUAAAAAGCUCGUAGUUGGAUUUCUGGUGGGAGCGAUCGGUCUGGCGCUUAGCGCGAGUACUUGCAUCGUCUCCGGCCAUCCUUGGGGAGAGUCUGUCUGGCAUUAGGUUGUCGGGCAGAGGAUCCUCAUCGUUUACUGUGAAAAAAUUAGAGUGUUCAAAGCAGGCUUAUGCCGUUGAAUAUAUUAGCAUGGAAUAAUAAGAUAGGACUUUGGUACUAUUUUGUUGGUUUGCGCACCAAAGUAAUGAUUAAUAGGGACAGGUGGGGGUAUUCGUAUUCCGUUGUCAGAGGUGAAAUUCUUGGAUUUACGGAAGACGAACUACUGCGAAAGCAUUUACCAAGGAUGUUUUCAUUAA